GUCACGCCAGCUGCACAGUCUUCACUGAGGGAGCUUCCAAGUGCCAUUUUAUUAAUGUGGAGAGAAGAAUAACAGAUCAUAAAUGUUUGAGGUCUAUCCAGCCGGAGUACAGGGGAUUAUCUAUUAUCCUGUGAGCUCGUGUUUUAUUCAUCUUCGUGUUCCCGUGAAUUAUACAGUGCAAAAACUGCUUAGAAGGCUUCCCCUCCUAGACAGCCCAACAGCACCUCAACCUCAGCCGGAAUGAAACUGAAUGUGUUACUGCGCACCCAAACAGAGCUUCUCUUCCUGCUUUCUCUCUCCUGAAUUCUUGACCAGGCGCAGUGGCUCACACCUGUAAUCCCAGCACUUUGAGAGGCCAAGGCAGGAAGAUCCCCUGAGGUCAGAAGUUCGAGACCAGCCUGGCCAACAUGGCAAAAUCCCAUCUCUACUAAAGCAAGAAGAUGCAAGCCUAGAGAAACCAAGCAAGUGCCUCCCAGUGUCUUGGCUAACUAAUACCAGAGCCAGGAUUGUGACCGGGCUGCCUAUCCCCGACCCCAGGCUCUUAGAACCACCUCCACCCCAGGAAGGCAUCUGACUGUGCUCACCUGCACAGUGAAGAAAAACACAACUUGGACACUCACUCAUUGGACACUCACUCAUCCUUCUGAGCAUUCAGCCACCUACCUUCACUCGCUAUAACUAGCAUCCUGAGUGACACCCUGCUGCCCUACAAAACAACGAUGCCCUGGGAGAUGAAAUGCCUGAAGAGCAUGACACUGCAGCCUCCAACCAGCUCCGGAUCAUUCUUCCUAGACCAAUGACUCUGAACAGAGAAAUCUAUCAGCAUCCCCCGGCAACAUCUUCUGAAGAUGAGGCCUGCAUGGAGAUUCUGACUCAGUGGGCAUAGAGAGGGGCCUACGUCAGAACAUACUGAAAAAUGUUUCCGUGCGAAACUAAUGUACAUCCCCAAUUAAGGAACCCUGGUCUAUAUAAAUCUUCAAGUGUCAGUGUCUUAACUGGGAACUAGACACAGUUGUUUUCAUCCUAAUUUAAAACUCUGUCUGCUGUUAGGAAGAACAGACGCAUCCCUCUCUGCCAGAAGCCUUGACGUGGAUGAGGCUUUCUUUUUAGUUGUUUCUCAUCCUCAGGAGAACAUUGAGAAGGGCGAAGGGGGUGUUGGCUCACUCCCCCACGUUGCUCCAAUACAUCUGGCCGAACCCCCAGUCAGGCCAUUGAGAACCCAAAGCUGGUCAGCAGUGUGUAGGAACAGGGCAGACCUGACAGCAGCUCGAGAGCCAGCACUGGGGACCAAGGCGUGGUCCACAAGGGAGGCCUCACCGGCCGUGAGCGUUCCAAGCAUCCACAAGGUUACAGCAGACAUCAGAGCUCCAGAAGGAGCUUAGAACAUCAACUCACUCUUAGCAUCCAUCACCAGCAGCAGUGGAAGCAAUUCAGAAGCAAACCUUCUCCAGAAACAAGAUGAGGCUGGUCUUCUCUGCUUCCUCUUUAAAAAAUGAAACUUGAAGGGGGCAAGAGCUAUGAUGUCCUCCAGGCUUUUGCUUUCUACCUCCCUCUUCCUGUCAUGAAGGAUUGGUGGUACGGGAAUAUUUCCACAUUCUGUUAACACGGAGGAGAGAGAAGGGACUCUGAUUCCGCCAGCCAUCACUGCUAAAACAGGGCUUGAGGGUUGGGGACACCAGCGUCCUUCUCACUGAAGUAGCAAUGUUGAAAGAAAACAGAAAGAUGGCCCCAUUGGAAAAAGAACAGAAAACGUUUACAAUGAAGUGGGAUGUAAAGGUAGAAAGUAGAAGGAAAGAAACACAAGAAAAUUAAAAUGCGCUUGUAAAACUGUGAACUACAUUAUGCUAUAUUACCAGUAAUUUCAGUGACUGCUCACUUAGGAACGCUUUUCUUUUAAAAGAAAAACAGAGCCAGCUCUUUCUUAGUUGAAUAACAACAGAGAGAAUCUUAAAGUCUGGAUUGCGUUUCUUGGUUUUUAACAUUGUUUACAUUUGUUAUUUGUAU
ensembl:lncRNA novel transcript